AUUGAACGCUGGCGGCAGGCUUAACACAUGCAAGUCGAGCGGGGGAGGUUGCUUCGGUAACUGACCUAGCGGCGGACGGGUGAGUAAUGCUUAGGAAUCUGCCUAUUAGUGGGGGACAACAUUCCGAAAGGGAUGCUAAUACCGCAUACGCCCUACGGGGGAAAGCAGGGGAUCUUCGGACCUUGCGCUAAUAGAUGAGCCUAAGUCGGAUUAGCUAGUUGGUGGGGUAAAGGCCUACCAAGGCGACGAUCUGUAGCGGGUCUGGGAGGAUGACACGCCACACUGGGACUGAGACACGGCCCAGACUCCUACGGGAGGCAGCAGUGGGGAAUAUUGGACAAUGGGCGGAAGCCUGAUCCAGCCAUGCCGCGUGUGUGAAGAAGGCCUUUUGGUUGUAAAGCACUUUAAGCGAGGAGGAGGCUCUUAAGGUUAAUACCCUUGAUGAGUGGACGUUACUCGCAGAAUAAGCACCGGCUAACUCUGUGCCAGCAGCCGCCGUAACAC
rnacentral:rRNA from 1 species